rnacentral:rRNA from 1 species
GACGUAGGGCGCGAGCGUUGUCCGGAUUUAUUGGGCGUAAAGAGCUCGUAGGCGGCUUGUCGCGUCGAAUGUGAAAACUCGGGGCUCAACUCCGAGCUUGCAUUCGAUACGGGCAGGCUAGAGUUCGGUAGGGGAGACUGGAAUUCCUGGUGUAGCGGUGAAAUGCGCAGAUAUCAGGAGGAACACCGGUGGCGAAGGCGGUGCUCUGGGCCGGUACUGACGCUGAGGAGCGAAAGCGUGGGUAGCAAACAGG